GAUGAACGCUGGCGGCGUGCCUAAUACAUGCAAGUCGAGCGAACAGAUGAGGAGCUUGCUCCUCUGACGUUAGCGGCGGACGGGUGAGUAACACGUGGAUAACCUACCUAUAAGACUGGGAUAACUUCGGGAAACCGGAGCUAAUACCGGAUAAUAUAUUGAACCGCAUGGUUCAAUAGUGAAAGACGGUUUUGCUGUCACUUAUAGAUGGAUCCGCGCCGCAUUAGCUAGUUGGUAAGGUAACGGCUUACCAAGGCAACGAUGCGUAGCCGACCUGAGAGGGUGGUCGGCCACACUGGAGGUGAGACGCGGUCCAGACUCCUACGGGGGGCAGCAGUAGGGAAUCUUCCGCAAUGGGGGAAAGCCGGACGGAGCAACGCCGCGUGAGUGAUGAAGGUCUUCGGAUCGUAGAGCUCUGUUAUUAGGGAAGAAGAAAUGUGGAAGUAACUGUGCACGUCUUGACGGUACCUAAACAGAAAGCCACGGCUAACUACGUG
rnacentral:rRNA from 1 species